rnacentral:tRNA from 1 species
GGCUCUGUAGCUAAGUCGGUGAAGCACUAGUGUAGCAUAUAAGGGUCGUGAGUUAAAAUCUCACUUGAGCUG